CUGAGACGUUGAUAAUGUUUCUAAUGCAGCUGCAAAGCAUGUGCAAAUAGAGUGACAAGAUCUUCUCUGUAGCAGAGAGGGGUUCAUGCUUCAAGCAGAAGAAAAGAGGAGAGGGCAUCUUUCAGGGUACUUCGGCUAAAUCCUAAAGAUCUACAUGUGUGAAGAAAUCACCCUUCUGAUCAUGUAGACUGUGGACCUAAGACAUUCUUCCCGCACUCCUCAGUGGAGAAAAAGACUGAUACUACCACUGAAGUUGAGAUAACACAGUUUACAAAAGAGCUGAGAAAAAUGCCCUUGAAAAUCAGGUAAGGUCAAGGAUCUACACACAUCAGGCCUUGAUUUCUGCAGGAGGGCUCCAGCUGGAUGCUCAGUCCGGCAACAUAACAAAUCCCUGUUAUUUGCAAGGAAUCUAGAGCAUACUGAAGUAAGAAAAACCUUCUGCUUCCUUGUUGCUUUCCUUUUUCCCUGUGGCUUUUUGGCUUGUGUGGUUUCCCUUGGGAAAAAAAAAAAUAGUGGAGAGAACAUUCUGAGUAGCCAUCCUUCCUCUAGGAUGAGGCUCACCUCUUCCCUUCCUGUUCUGUAUCCUGCUAUUCUUCAAAGCUGAAGGAGUGUUACCUCUGAAGUCUUUUGUCAUUUAGCAGCUGCGGGAAUGGAAUUCAUUUUGCCUUCAGUCAUAGACAACGCUUUUCAUCACAGUGGCUAAAACCUCCUAAUUGUAAGGGUCUGUACCCACUGCAACACACCUGAGGAACGGCAAUCGUGGCCAUCGCUGGAACACGGUAUGACUGUAAGUUUUCUGAACUGCAGGACAGAGAUCACAG